rnacentral:rRNA from 1 species
UACAGAGGUCCCAAGCGUUGUUCGGAUUCAUUGGGCGUAAAGGGUGCGUAGGCGGCGCGGUAAGUCGGGUGUGAAAUCUCGGGGCUUAACUCCGAAACUGCAUUCGAUACUGCCGUGCUUGAGGACUGGAGAGGAGACUGGAAUUUACGGUGUAGCGGUGAAAUGCGUAGAUAUCAGGAAGAACACCGGUGGCGAAGGCGGCGGUCUGGGCCUGAACUGACGCUGAGGAGCGAAAGCCAGGGGAGCAAACGGG